GCAUGAUACUGUUUGGCUGGAGUGAUGGAGGGGGAACCGGAAUUCUUGGUGUAGCAGUGAAAUGCGUAGAUAUCAAGAAGAAGACUCGUGGCGAAGGCGGGUUCCUGGACAUUCACUGACGCUGAGGUACGAAGGCUAGGGUAGCGAAAGGGAUUAGAUACCCCUGUAGUCCUAGCAGUAAACGGUGCACGCUUGGUGUGCGGGGAAUCGACCCCCUGCGUGCCGGAGCUAACGCGUUAAGCGUGCCGCCUGGGGAGUACGGUCGCAAGAUUAAAACUCAAAGAAAUUGACGGGGACCCGCACAAGCGGUGGAGUAUGUGGCUUAAUUCGAUGCAACGCGAAGAACCUUACCAAGGCUUGACAUCCUGAGACCGACUGUGAAAGCAGUUUUUCUAUUCGUAGACUCAGAGACAGGUGCUGCAUGGCCGUCGUCAGCUCGUGUCGUGAGAUGUUUGGUUAAGUCCAGCAACGAGCGCAACCCCUGCUGCCAGUUACCAUCAUUAAGUUGGGGACUCUGGCGGGACUGCCCAGAUCAACUGGGGAGGAAGGUGGGGACGACGUCAGGUCAGUAUGGCCCUUACGCCUUGGGCUGCACACGUACUACAAUGCCCAGUACAGAGGGAAGCAAGCAAGUGAUUGCAAGCAGAUCCCGAAAAGUGGGCUCAGUUCGGGAUUGGAGGCUGCAACUCGCCUCCAUGAAGCCGGAAUCGCUAGUAAUGGCGCAUCAGCUACGGCGCGUGAAUACGUUCCCGGGUCUGUACACAC
rnacentral:rRNA from 1 species